CCCUAAAAUCGGAUCUCAACUAAAAUCGGAUCUCAACUAUCCCCAACUCUAACCUCCAAUGGCCUGAGCCUCUUCUCCAAUCUCCUCGACGCCAAGCCCUGCAUGCGCCGCCAACCUCCCCUCAAGCUACGGCACGGGCCACCGGCCCCCACUCCACCCCCAUUCCUUCCCGCAGCAGGUCCAACCCGUCGGCGUGGGCUUCACCCGCCGCCGUCUUUCGCUUCGACCUCCGGCAAGGACGCCGUGGACUCAAGUCGAGCCGGCGCCUACUCGUCUCCUCUCCUGCAGCGCCCCACGGAGUAGGAGACCUGGUGAUGCCCGACCGAGUCGUGGAACUACACCGGGUUGACCUGGUGCCUCGCCGUCGGGGACGACCAGGGCGGCGCAGCCGUGCCUCUCGCCGGCGGGAGGGGCGCAGGAAUUGCAACAUGAGGCACGGAGGAAGGCCGGCGGUCGCCUUCCCGAGGUGCUGCUGCCGGCGCCGGCCACGAACCCAAACUGUUGCUCCUCAUGCCGACCACCACAUUGUCCGUCGCUGCCUCCCCAAGCUUCUGCUGCCCCUGACGCGGGCCGCUGCUGGUGUCGCCGAAGAGGACGCCGCUGUCCUCGUCUCCUCUCCUGCAGCACCCAACGGAGGGGGAGACCUGGUGGUGCCUGGCCGAGACGUAGAACUCCACGGGUUGACCUGGUGCCCCGCUGUCGGGGACGACCAAGGCGGCGCAGCCGUGCCUCUUUCCGGCGGGAGGGGCACAGGAAUUGCAACAUGAGGCAUGGAGGAAGGCUGGCGGUCGUCUUACCGAGCUGCUGCUGCCGGCGCUGGCCACGAACCCGAACUGUUGCUCCUCAUGCCGAUCACCACAUCGUCCACCGCUGCCUCCCCAAACUGCUGCUACCCAAAACGUUGAAUGACAUCAACGCCGACCUCCCUGAGCUCUUGGUGGUGGUCUCCUCUUCUUGCCCUGCUCGUUGUCGCCCGGAUUCCACCUGGAGCAAAUGCAAGCGUCUUCCGGGAGAAGGUCGAGGGACAACUGGACCGUGAUGCUGGUUCAUUUCAAGCCUGCCACAAGAUAAAUAUUAAUGAUUGCCAAUGUCUUUCGUUGGGUUUGGCUCUCCGAUGCAGCUCUUUCAGGAUGCACUUGAAACCCUCUGUGUCGUCCUAGCUACUGUUAGACACCUCUAUUGCUCCUUGCUUUCGAUAACGGCUCCAUGAAGCUUUGCAUCCUCAAGAUAAGGAUCUGAUUGGUGUCAUGGUAAUACACAUGGUGAUGACAAGGUCCCUUAGUCCUGCCACCCAAGGCAGGGAUUUGAGCAGACUUGGAUGCUCGUGACAACCAUUCUCCAGGAUCGAAAUAUUGUCAAUGGGAAAUCAAAGGUGUUCCUUUGAGAAUCGAGAUCGGUCCAAAAGAUUUGUCAAAUAAGCAGAUAGGCUGGAACGAAUAUUUGCCUGUGGCAGCGAUGUCCUUUUCUUGAUCUGCAUGGUUAAGUGUAAAAUGGCGCAUACAUAAUGUUGCCGUGCGCCGGCCACGAACCCAAACCGUUGCUCCUCGAUCAUGCCGACCACCACAUCAUCCGCCACUACCUCCCCAAGCUUCUGCUGCCCCUACCCUUGGACAUGGCUUCUUGCUCUUCCUACGGUAACAUGGUUUUUUUUUGUCCUGGCUUUGACAUUGGUGGCGGAUGUGGGCCGCUGCUGGUGUCGCCGGAGAGGAUGCCACCGUCCUUGUGUCCUGCUGCUCGACGACAACUACGGUGACGAGAUCGAUCACGACGACCUUCCUCCAUCGCGCCGCCGUGCAGGGCCGCCGCCACCGUCCCGCUUCCUCCAUCGCGCCGUGGUGAAUGGCCGGGCUUCACGCAGGUUCAGAUUGACCACGCCAAGCUGUUGAUCGAUCAUUCUAUGGCAGAGGAACAGGUUCAAGUAAAUUGAUCAAACCCAGUUCAGCUUGCCUGAUCCUUAUCCAUCUGCGUUUGCAGAAAUGGGAGAUGGGAGAAGAAGAAAUCUGCACAAAAGGAGAAGAAGAAAGCUGAACAAGAGACAUUUCUAACAAAUACUUUGAUUCUUCGAAAAGCUCUACACUUUAAGUCCACUAAUUUAGUAUUUAUUUCAGGUUCACUCCAUGAAAAUGAAAAAUAAAAGAUCAAAUGCAAAAAAGAAAAUCAUCCGAGAGAGACAGCCUACAACAAGAGGAGACGAAAUAUGAGGAAUCUUUUUUCUUGGACAUUAGUUUUUCUUUUUGAAACGCGGGCAAAAGCUUUGCCCUUUCUAUUAAUUAAGGAGAAGUUUUACAAGAAAAAAAAGGUGUUGGACUAUCGAUACUUUGGCUCAUGCGUUGGAAAAGGCAACGGGACAUGGGCUUCUCAAUAAGAUCCGAGGGCGGGGUACCAUCCUCCGCACAUCUCUUUAUGCGGAUGAUGUGGCGGUUUUGUAGCCCCUAUUAAAGAAGACAUUCAAAACCUCGCCCACAUCCUCAAUGACUUCGGAAAGGUUACCAGGCUAUGCACAAACUUCCUCAAGAGCUCCGUAGUGCCCAUAAGGUGUGCCAACAUUGACCUCGAUGACAGCCACAAUACCAUAUGGAGCAAUUCAUGUAUAUAUUUUUGUCUCUUUAUUUAUUUCUAUAGCAAGUACCUUCUAAACUUGCUUGGUGCAGGAACCGUUUGACUUUAGUGUUAGCAACAUAAAUCAAACAAUGACAGCUGCAUCACCAUAUGGAGGUUCAUCGUCUGUCGUUAUGCCUCCAAUUCUAGGAAAAUAUACAAGCAUGUUGUAUCAAGUUCAGCAAAGCUCCGCUCCUGUGUCCAGUUCUCUGCAAUUACGCUUUGAUGGAACUGGAGAAGUCCAACAAUACGAUGGAUCAAAGUUAGAGAUGAAUUGUGUAAUUUAAGGAUGUUGGAUGCAGACCUUUGUUAUAAUCUUUUAUGCACUUGGAAAUUUUAAUGUAAUAGCUAAUAGGCACAGGGUAGUAGAAAGUAAACGAAUUUAUGUUUCGGAAUCUGGAUUCUCCACAGUGUAUUUGAACUGAUUAUUGAAUUAUAUGCGAUUGCAAUUUUCAGUA